CAGACUGCCGGCUGGUAUCAGG
rnacentral:miRNA from 11 species